CCGGUCCUUUCACCGUGCUCUCUCACUGGAAACUGAAGGAGCCUCCUGGUCUUGACCGUCUUCUUCACCAACAUGACUCCUUCUGUCCACAUGCUGUUUGAUGGACAUCUACACAAGCCAGAUGGAGGAUGAUGGCUGUGUUUGUGCAUGAGCAUAACACCAAAGUGAAGAUGUAACACCAGUCUGUUCACAGCAUGACUUGAGAAAAUGGGUCUGAGAAAGAAGCACCAACAAGACCGUAUCUGCAGCCUGUCUUGAAAAUCCUGAUGUGAACAGACUGAAGAUUUCACAGCAGCUGUUCCAGUCAGCCAAGCUUGGUCUGGAGGGGACACUAAACAGGUAAUGACCACGAGAAACAUCUGAGGGAGAUUGGUCCGGUGGAAUUAAUAUUUUCCUCAAAUGCCUAUUUUUAUUUAUUUUCCCCAUUAGACAGUUUUUCAUCUGCCAGCAGCCUUUUAUACACUAUGUCCAUUCCAAGCAUAAUAAAUGUGCAUGCACUGCAUUAAACUGACAUCCUGUGUUUUUGAAAAAAUAAAUAUGUAUAUUUAAGAAGUGUUCUGUGUAUUUAUUGGAAGGGGAUAUUUGAAAGUUUGGUCCUGUUGCAUAAUGUUUAACUCACAUUACUGCAUG